rnacentral:rRNA from 1 species
UAUGUGAUGAGGAGAACCCCUUGAACUUAAGCAUAUCAUUAAAGGGAGGAAAAGAAAAUAACAAUGAUUUCUUUAGUAGUGGGGAANGAACAAGAAAGAGNUCAUAUGGUAAGAUACAUAUUUUGUAUCGUUGUAUUGAAGAUAUAUUAUUUGUUAAGAUAUANUGAGAAGUAUAUACCAUAGAGGGUUAUAGUCCCGUGACAGAUAAUUAUGGGAGUAUAUUAGAGUAACUUUAUUUGGUAGUAUAGAGUGAAUAAGGGUAGUAUUAAUUAUCCAAAGCUAAAUAAGUAAUGAUACCGAUAGAGAACAAGUAGUGUGAACGAAAGUGAUGAUAUAAGUAUUAU